rnacentral:rRNA from 1 species
AAUCUGCCCCUUGGUUCGGAAUAACCGUUGGAAACGACGGCUAAUACCGGAUGACGACGUAAGNCCAAAGAUUUAUCGCCGAGGGAUGAGCCCGCGUAGGAUUAGCUAGUUGGUGUGGUAAAGGCGCACCAAGGCGACGAUCCUUAGCUGGUCUGAGAGGAUGAUCAGCCACACUGGGACUGAGACACGGCCCAGACUCCUACGGGAGGCAGCAGUGGGGAAUAUUGGACAAUGGGCGAAAGCCUGAUCCAGCAAUGCCGCGUGAGUGAUGAAGGCCUUAGGGUUGUAAAGCUCUUUUACCCGGGAUGAUAAUGACAGUACCGGGAGAAUAAGCUCCGGCUAACUCCGUGCCAGCAGCCGCGGNAAUACGGAGGGAGCUAGCGUUGUUCGGAAUUACUGGGCGUAAAGCGCACGUAGGCGGNUUUGUAAGUUAGAGGUGAAAGCCUGGAGCUCAACUCCAGAAUUGCCUUUAAGACUGCAUCGCUUGAAUCCAGGAGAGGUGAGUGGAAUUCCGAGUGUAGAGGUGA